rnacentral:rRNA from 1 species
ACAAGGUUUCCGUAGGUGAACCUGCGGAAGGAUCAUUGUUGAAAUCGAACGGAAGAACGACCCGCGAAUCGUCACCGCGUACUAGAGAGACCCCGUGAGCACCUAACGCGCACGUGGCUCGCGUCGCGUCGGCGCUGGUUUACUAGAGACCCGCGUUGUACCGGCGAACGAACAACUUUAGCACGGAUCGUGCCUAGGAGCUGCAUUUUGAGAAUCGUCGUCCCACGCCCCGAUCGUCCUCGAUGCGGGACGGGGGAUGCACGCAAUCUCUGAUAAGGUCUGAAUGACUCUCGGCAACAGAUAUCUCGGCUAUUGCAUCGAUGAAGAACGUAGCGAAAUGCGAUACUUGGUGUGAAUUGCAGAAUCCCGCGAACCAUCAAUUCUUUGAACGCAAGUUGCGUCCGAAGCCAUUCUGCAGAGGGCACGCCUGCCUGGGUGUCGCGAAUCCCCUUCCCCCUAAUCACCCGCACGAGCAUCGGCGGGGAUUACAUACGAGAGGGCGCAGAAUAUGGUCUCCCGUGGGAUCGGCAUGCGCGGCAUGCAGAGGCGCGAUUGGCCGAAAAUCGAGCACGGCGUUGGGUGGGAUCGAACAAGAUUGGCCGCGUCGUGGUCUCGGCAUGCUGCGGGCUCCGGACUUUGACAAUCCCCGAGUGCGAUCCCAGGUCAGGUGGGGCUACCCGCUGAGUUUAAGCAUAUCAAUAAGCGGAGGAAAAGAAACUAACGACGAUUCCCUUAGUAGCGGCGAGCGAACCAGGAAGAGCCCAGCGUGAAAAUCGUCC